rnacentral:rRNA from 1 species
UACAGAGGUCUCAAGCGUUGUUCGGAUUCAUUGGGCGUAAAGGGUGCGUAGGUGGCGUGGUAAGUCGGGUGUGAAAUUUCGGAACUUAACUCCGAAACUGCAUUCGAUACUGCUGUGCUUGAGGACUGGAGAGGAGACUGGAAUUUACGGUGUAGCAGUGAAAUGCGUAGAGAUCGUAAGGAAGACCAGUGGCGAAGGCGGGUCUCUGGACAGUUCCUGACACUGAGGCACGAAGGCCAGGGGAGCAAACGGG